CCUACGGGGGGCUGCAGUAGGGAAUAUUGCGCAAUGGACGAAAGUCUGACGCAGCGACGCCGCGUGAGUGAUGAAGGCCUUAGGGUCGUAAAGCUCUGUUGAAUGGGAAGAAAAAAAUGACGGUACCAUUCGAGGAAGGACCGGCUAACUUCGUGCCAGCAGCCGCGGUAAUACGAGGGGUCCUAGCGUUGUUCGGAAUCAUUGGGCGUAAAGGGUGUGUAGGUGGCUAUGUAAGUCAGGUGUGAAAGCCCCGGGCUCAACCCGGGAAGUGCAUC
rnacentral:rRNA from 1 species